GAUAAACGCUGGUGGCGUGCAUAACACAUGCAAGUCGAACGAUGAAGAUUAAAAGAUUUCUUCGGAAUGAACUUAAUUGGAUUAGUGGCGGACGGGUGAGUAACGCGUGAGUAACCUGCCUUGUACAAGGGGAUAGCCGUUGGAAACGACGAAUAAUACCCUAUGACAUCAAAUAAUCGCAUGAUAAUUUGAUCAAAGAUUUAUCGGUAUAAGAUGGACUCGCGUCUGAUUAGCUAGUUGGUAGAGUAAAAGCCUACCAAGGCAACGAUCAGUAGCCGGCUUGAGAGAGUGUACGGCCACAUUGGGACUGAGACACGGCCCAGACUCCUACGGGAGGCAGCAGUGGGGAAUUUUGCACAAUGGGGGAAACCCUGAUGCAGCGACGCCGCGUGAUUUAGAAGGCCUUCGGGUUGUAAAAAUCUUUUGUAUGGGAAGAAAAUGACAGUACCAUACGAAUAAGGACCGGCUAAUUACGUG
rnacentral:rRNA from 1 species